UGCAGUCGAACGAAGUAGCAAUACUUAGUGGCAAACGGGUGAGUAAUAUGUGGAAAUCUGCCCUUCGGUCUGGAAUAACAUGGGGAAACUUAUGCUAAUACCGGAUAAGCCUUUACAGGGAAAGCUUUAUGCUCCGAUGGAUGAGUCCACACUUGAUUAGUUUGUUGGUGGGGUAAUGGCCUACCAAGACUGUGAUCAAUAGCUGAUUUGAGAGGAUGAUCAGCCACAUUGGGACUGAGACACGGCCCAAACUCCUACGGGAGGCAGCAGUGGGGAAUCUUGCACAAUGGGGGAAACCCUGAUGCAGCGAUGCCGCGUGAGUGAAGAAGGCCUUUGGGUUGUAAAGCUCUUUCGUCGGGGAAGAAAAUGACUGUACCCGAAUAAGAAGGUCCGGCUAACUUCGUGCCAGCAGCCGCGGUAAUACGAAGGGAUCUAGCGUAGUUCGGAAUUACUGGGCUUAAAGAGUUCGUAGGUGGUUAAAAAAGUUGGUGGUGAAAUCCCAGAGCUUAACUCUGGAACUGCCAUCAAAACUUUUUAGCUAGAGUAUGAUAGAGGAAAGCAGAAUUUCUAGUGUAGAGGUGAAAUUCGUAGAUAUUAGAAAGAAUACCAAUUGCGAAGGCAGCUUUCUGGGUCAUUACUGACACUGAGGAACGAAAGCAUGGGUAGCGAAGAGGAUUAGAUACCCUCGUAGUCCAUGCUGUAAACGAUGUGUGCUAGAC
rnacentral:rRNA from 1 species